rnacentral:lncRNA from 1 species
UUAGUAUUUGGCUUUUUGGAAAUCUAUGUUUAUUACGUAAGAGUCCUGAGUAGGUAACAUUUUACACAUAUAUCAAACAAGAACACCAGACACCUUACAAACACUUACAAACACAGCUAUUGUUGUAGUUACCACACCAAUACCAAACCAAACAGCAUUCCCAAUUGACCCAACUCUUGUGUUCAAUUGCUUCACCUCUUCACCUAGUGCAUCUAGUUUGGCUACGAUUAUGGACAUUUGAUUGGACAUCAGCUUCAACUCCCUCUAGACGCAAUCCAUUGUCUGCUCGCCAGACAGGACUUCAGCCUGACUGGGUUGCAAGCUGAACUUGUCUUCCUUAAUAGGGACUCGUACAGAACCACUAGAUGCAUUUGUGAAACCUGAGAACGAUGAUUCUCCAUGUACCCACUCAAAUUACUUACAAUUGGAAUUCUUGUCCUAUAAUGAACAUGAAUAACCAUAAACGCGGGUGAAACUAUAACUGGACCUUGAAUGACAACAAUGAAAACGUGGGAAAUACCUUCCAAAACGGGCAUCGGUAGAACUGCCUGCCUGGAUUGUCAACCGUGUCGGAUACCAGAACUAGAGCCCUUUCUCUAUGCUUGUAGUGCUUGUGAUUUAGGGUGGAUCCAAUCGAAGAAACGAAGGAUGUUGAUCCCUGUUUCAUGAUACCAAAUCAGGGACUGUACGUAUAGGGAUUUAGGGUUACAUAGGGGGAUUUGAAUAGGGAAGAGAUUCAAAACAUUAUUAGGAUAGAGGAUUGGCGAUGCCGCAGGCGGUCAACGACGGUGGCUGGCGGAUUUUGUUGACGAACAACCAGAUGAAAAAGAAGAAGAAUACGAAGAAUACGUAGGUU